CCCAAACCCAAACCCAAACCCAGACCCCGCACCCCACAGUGCAGAGCAAUCUACGCUUAUGAUGCUCAGGACACAGAUGAGCUCAGCUUUCAAGCAGAGGAUAUCAUAGAAAUCACAUGUGAAGAUCCUUCAGGUUGGUGGAAAGGCUGUCUUCGAGGAAAGGAAGGCAUGUUUCCUGGCAACUACGUUGAGAAGAUCUAAACCGGCAUGCUAUUGGACAGAAUGUGAUUCAUUGCAGAAAUUCAAUCA